CUACGGGGGGCUCCAGUAAGGAAUAUUGGGCAAUGGACGCAAGUCUGACCCAGCCAUGCCGCGUGCAGGAUGACAGCCCUACGGGUUGUAAACUGCUUUUAUAUGGGAAAAAUUCUUCCGACGUGUCGGAAGUCGAUGGUACCAUAUGAAUAAGCACCGGCUAACUCCGUGCCAGCAGCCGCGGUAAUACGGAGGGUGCAAGCGUUAUCCGGAUUUAUUGGGUUUAAAGGGUGCGCAGGCGGAAUGAUAAGUCAGUGGUGAAAUCCUACGGCUCAACUGUAGAACUGCCAUUGAUACUGUUGUUCUUGAGUACAGUUGUAGUGGGCGGAAUAUGUCAUGUAGCGGUGAAAUGCAUAGAUAUGACAUAGAACACCGAUCGCGAAGGCAGCUCACUAAGCUGAAACUGACGCUGAGGCACGAAAGCGUGGGGAGCAAACAGGAUUAGAUACCCUCGUAGUC
rnacentral:rRNA from 1 species